rnacentral:rRNA from 1 species
AAAUUGAAGAGUUUGAUCAUGGCUCAGAUUGAACGCUGGCGGCAGGCCUAACACAUGCAAGUCGAACGGUAGCACAGAGAGCUUGCUCUCGGGUGACGAGUGGCGGACGGGUGAGUAAUGUCUGGGAAACUGCCUGAUGGAGGGGGAUAACUACUGGAAACGGUAGCUAAUACCGCAUAACGUCGCAAGACCAAAGAGGGGGACCUUCGGGCCUC